rnacentral:rRNA from 1 species
AGUCGAGCGGAGAUGAGGUGCUUGCACCUUAUCUUAGCGGCGGACGGGUGAGUAAUGCUUAGGAAUCUGCCUAUUAGUGGGGGACAACAUUCCGAAAGGAAUGCUAAUACCGCAUACGUCCUACGGGAGAAAGCAGGGGAUCUUCGGACCUUGCGCUAAUAGAUGAGCCUAAGUCGGAUUAGCUAGUUGGUGGGGUAAAGGCCUACCAAGGCGACGAUCUGUAGCGGGUCUGAGAGGAUGAUCCGCCACACUGGGACUGAGACACGGCCCAGACUCCUACGGGAGGCAGCAGUGGGGAAUAUUGGACAAUGGGGGGAACCCUGAUCCGGCCAUGCCGCGUGUGUGAAGAAGGCCUUAUGGUUGUAAAGCACUUUAAGCGAGGAGGAGGCUACUGAGACUAAUACUCUUGGAUAGUGGACGUUACUCGCAGAAUAAGCACCGGCUAACUCUGUGCCAGCAGCCGCGGUAAUACAGAGGGUGCGAGCGUUAAUCGGAUUUACUGGGCGUAAAGCGUGCGUAGGCGGCUUUUUAAGUCGGAUGUGAAAUCCCCGAGCUUAACUUGGGAAUUGCAUUCGAUACUGGGAAGCUAGAGUAUGGGAGAGGAUGGUAGAAUUCCAGGUGUAGCGGUGAAAUGCGUAGAGAUCUGGAGGAAUACCGAUGGCGAAGGCA